GAUUAGCCUGCGUCCGAUUAGCUAGUUGGUGGGGUAAGGGCUUACCAAGGCGAUGAUCGGUAGCUGGUCUGAGAGGAUGACCAGCCACACUGGGACUGAGACACGGCCCAGACUCUUACGGGAGGCAGCAGUGGGGAAUAUUGGACAAUGGGGGGAACCCUGAUCCAGCGAUGCCGCGUGUGUGAAGAAGGCCUGAGGGUUGUAAAGCACUUUCAGUGGGGAGGAGGGUUGAUUGGUUAAGAGCUGGUCAAUUGGACGUUACCCACAGAAGAAGCACCGGCUAACUCCGUGCCAGCAGCCGCGRUAAUACGGAGGGUGCGAGCGUUAAUCGGAAUUACUGGGCGUAAAGGGUGCGUAGGUGGUUGAUUAAGUUAUCUGUGAAAUUCCUGGGCUUAACCUGGGCCGUGCAGAUAAGACUGGUUGACUCGAGUAUAGGAGAGGGUAGUGGAAUUUCCGGUGUAGCGGUGAAAUGCGUAGAGAUCGGAAGGAACACCAGUGGCGAAGGCGGCUACCUGGCCGGAUACUGACACUGAGGCACGAAAGCGUGGGGAGCAAACAGGAUUAGAUACCCUGGUAGUCCACGCUGUAAACGAUGUCAACUAGCUGUUGG
rnacentral:rRNA from 1 species